rnacentral:rRNA from 1 species
UACGUAGGGGGCGAGCGUUGUCCGGAUUUAUUGGGCGUAAAGAGCGUGUAGGCGGCCAGGUAGGUCGGCUGUGAAAACUCGAGGCUCAACCUCGAGAUGUCGGCUGAAACCAUCUGGCUAGAGUCCGGAAGAGGAGAAUGGAAUUCCCGGUGUAGCGGUGAAAUGCGCAGAUAUCGGGAAGAACACCCGUGGCGAAGGCGGAGCCCUGGGCCGAUACUGACGCUGAGGUGCGAAAGCGUGGGGAGCAAACAGG